rnacentral:rRNA from 1 species
AUUUUUAUUAAUUAUAGCAUUUAAUGGAUGCCUAGAAAUUAGAAAAUUAAAACGUUUUAUACAACGAAAUUUCAUAAAGAGGGGUAUAAAAUCCGUAUGUAUUUAUGAAUCUUUUAAGAGUAAACUUAUAACCCAUUAUAGUUAUACUAAAAACUUAGCAAACUGAAACAUCUAAGUAGCUAAAGGAAAAUAAAUUAAACAAGAUUUUGUUAGUAGUGGCGAGCGAACGCGAAGUAGGUUAAAGAUAAAAAACAAGUUUAGAAUAAUUUGGAAAGAUUAACGAUACAGGGUGAUAGUCCCGUAUAAAGGAGUUUUUUAUUGAAGAAAGUAAAACGAAACAUGUGUAAUUUUGUUUGAAGAUAGGGGAACCACCCUCUAAACCUAAAUAAUUUCUAAUUAUCGAUAGUGAAAAGUACCGCGAGGGAAAGGUGAAAAGAACCUAUAGAAUAGGAGUGAAAUAGAACCUGAAAUUGAAUGCUUACAAGCAGUUGGAGCAUUUAUAUAAUGUGACAGCGUACCUUUUGUAUAAUGGGUCAGCGAGUUAAUUAAUAUAGCAAGCUUAAGUUGCUAAAUGUAGGCGAAGAGAAAUCGAGUAUUAAAUGUGCGUUAAGUUAUAUUAAUUAGACCCGAAACCUAGUGAUCUAAGUAUGAGCAAGUUGAAAAUAUAGUAAAAUAUAUUGAAGGACUGAACCCGUGUAUGUGGCAAAAUACUGGGAUGACUUGUGCUUAGGGGUGAAAGGCCAAUCAAACUAGGAGAUAGCUGGUUUUCUGCGAAAUCUAUUUAGGUAGAGCGUAACGUAAAAAAAUAUAAUAAUAUCAUCAUUAGGGGUAAAGCACUGGAUAGACUAGGGGGGACUAAUCAUCUUUACCAACUCUAACCAAACUUUGAAUACUAAUGAUGACAAACGUUGCAGACAAACUAUAGGUGAUAAGGUCUAUAGUUAAAAGGGAAACAGCCCAGAACGUAAGUUAAGGUCCGUAAGUUAUAAUUGAGGUUAAAGGGAGUAAAAAUACUUAGACAAUCAAAUCGUAGGCUUGGAAGCAGCCAUCUAUUUUUGAAAGCGUAAAAGCUCAUUGAUCUAAUUAGUAUUUUUAUCCCGAAAAUGUAUAGGACGUAAAUUAUACACCGAAACUACGUAUAUAAUAUAUUAACAGUAUGGUAUAUUAUAUGGUAGCAGAACGUUCUGUAAGCCGUUGAAGAUUUAUUGAAAGAUAGAUUGGAGGUAUCAGAAGUGAAAAUGCUGACAUGAGUAGCGAAAAACAUGUGAUAAAAUAUUGUCGCCGAAAGUUCAAGGGUUUCUUUGAAAGGUUAAUCCGCAAAGAGUAAGUCGGCCCCUAAGAUUAAAGUGAAAACUGUCAUCGAUGGGAAUUAAAUUAAUAAUUUUAAACCUUAUUGUAGUGACGGAGGUUUUGACUUAUUAAAUUGGUAAAAGUUUAGUAUAAAAGACCUUCCAGGAAAAAACUAAAUAAGUAUAGACCGUACCCUAAACCGACACAGGUGAACUAGUAGAGCAUACUAAGGCGUUUAAGAGAACAAUGUUGAAGGAACUCGGCAAAAUGACUCCGUAACUUCGGGAGAAGGAGUGCCUAUAUUUUGGCAACUUAAUAUAGGUGGUACAAAACAGGGGGUAGCGACUGUUUAUUAAAAACACAGGACUCUGCAAAAUUAUUUAAUGAUGUAUAGGGUCUGACACCUGCCCGGUGCUGGAACAUUAAAAGGAUAAGUUAACGCUUUGAAUUGAAGUGUCAGUAAACGGCGGCUGUAACCAUAACGGUCCUAAGGUAGCGAAAUUCCUUGUCGGGUAAGUUCCGACCUGCAUGAAUGGUGUAACGAUUUCCCCACUGUCUCCAACAUUGACUUAGUGAAAUUGAAUUCUCUGUGAAGAUGCAGAGUACUGGCGGCUAGACGGAAAGACCCCGUGCACCUUUACUAUAACUUUACAAUGCUGCUAAAUAUUAAAUGUGUAGGAUAAGUGGGAGCUUAUUAUGAGUUAAAUUAAUUUUUAAUUCUAGGCAGCCUUGAAAUACCACUCUUUUAGUAUUUAAAAGCUAAUUAAAAUUUCUUUUUUAAAAUUUAAAACAUUGUAUGGUUGGUAGUUUGACUGGGGCGGUCACCUCCUAAAGAGUAACGGAGGUGUACAAAGGUAAACUCAAACUAGUUGGAAAUUAGUUGUAGAGUGUAAUGGCAUAAGUUUGCCUGACUGUAAGACUGACAAGUCGAGCAGAGAUAUGUAAGUAUCGGUCAUAGUGAUCCGGUGGUUCUGUGUGGAAAGGCCAUCGCUCAACGGAUAAAAGGUACGCCGGGGAUAACAGGCUAAUGAUUCUCGAGAGCUCGUAUUGCCGGAAUCGUUUGGCACCUCGAUGUCGACUCAUCACAUCCUGAAGCUGAAGCAGGUUUCAAGGGUUUGGCUGUUCGCCAAUUAAAGUGGUACGUGAGUUGGGUUUAGAACGUCGUGAGACAGUUCGGUCCCUAUCUACCGUCAGAAUCAGAUAAUUAAAAGAGUCUAACCUUAGUACGAGAGGACUGGGUAGGAUAUGCCUAUGGUGUAUUGAUUGUUAUGUAUAUAGCAUUGUCAAGAAGCUACGCAUAGAAAGAAUAAUUAUUGAAAGAAUAUAAAUAAGAAGUUACUCUUUAUACAUAUUAUCUUAGACAUGUGAGAGAUUAUCACAUUGAUAGGCAAACAGUGUAAGAUUGGUAACAAUUUGAGCUAGUUUGUACUAAAUGUCGAAAAUAAAAAAC